rnacentral:rRNA from 1 species
UACAGAGGUGGCAAGCGUUGUUCGGAAUUACUGGGCGUAAAGGGCGCGUAGGCGGCCUACUAAGUCAGACGUGAAAUCCCUCGGCUCAACCGGGGAACUGCGUCUGAUACUGGGUGGCUUGAAUCCGGGAGAGGGAUGCGGAAUUCCAGGUGUAGCGGUGAAAUGCGUAGAUAUCUGGAGGAACACCGGUGGCGAAGGCGGCAUCCUGGACCGGUAUUGACGCUGAGGCGCGAAAGCCAGGGGAGCAAAGCGGG